GGAGGGUGCAAGCGUUAUCCGGAUUCACUGGGUUUAAAGGGUGCGUAGGUGGGCAGGUAAGUCAGUGGUGAAAUCUCCGGGCUUAACCCGGAAACUGCCAUUGAUACUAUCUGUCUUGAAUACCCUGGAGGUGAGCGGAAUAUGUCAUGUAGCGGUGAAAUGCUUAGAUAUGACAUAGAACACCCAUUGCGAAGGCAGCUCACUACGGGACUAUUGACACUGAGGCACGAAAGCGUGGGGAUCAAACAGGAUUAGAUACCCUGGUAGUCCACGCCCUAAACUAUGGAUACUCGACAUCAGCGAUAAACUGUUGGUGUCUGAGCGAAAGCAUUAAGUAUCCCACCUGGGAAGUACGAUCGCAAGAUUG
rnacentral:rRNA from 1 species